AUCAUCCUAAUUCCUCAUUCAUCGGUUACGAUAUGUUUUGAGUUUGUUUAAGUAUAUGGUAUAAAAAUCUAUACACUCUUGACCCAAGUAACCUUCUGCUAUAGAUCCCUCCAGGCAAUUCAUUUUUCUUACAUAAGAUUUCAAUAUUUGAAUAUUCUUUUUGGUGGGGUACAUCCAUCGGCAAAACACUGGACCUCCAAGUGCAACUUUUCCCGCAAGGUGCAUGGUAAGAUGCAUCAUAAUUAUGAAAAAUAAUGAUAGAAAUAUCUUCUCU
rnacentral:lncRNA from 1 species